GGAGCGGCGCCUGCACCCGACAGCCCGCCCCCACCCCCGGGCUCCCAACCCCCAGACUUGGAGCGGGUCGGAUCCUCACACUCUGCAGCAGACUCCUCCUCUGCGCCGCCAUCUUGGAAGGACCCCCGCGGCGCGCCCUCCUCUGGGCGGAGCAACGAGUAGGGUGGCUAGAGCGGCUUAAGGAGCCGCGGAGGAUUGCGCCGCCGGGGCGCGUGAGCACAGCGCCGCCCAGGACGGGAGGCGGGAUGGGGCGCGCGGACCAUGUGCGCAGGCGCUUCCCCCGGGACGGAAUUUGCGGAGUAUUUAUUUAACACUCUAUACGAGAUUGUUCCUAGCCCGUCUCUCUUUUUUCUUCUUUUGGUUCCUGGAAUUGAACCCAAGGCACUUAACCACUGAGCCACAUCCCCACCCCUCUUUUUUUCUAUUUUAUUUAGAGACAAGGACUUGCUUGAGUUUUUUAGGGCCUCUCUAAGUUGCUGAGGCUGGCUUUGAACUCGCGAUCCUCCUGCCUCGGCCUCCCAAGCCGCGGGGAUUGCAGGCGUGCGCCACCGCGCGGCUCCUCACCGGCCGUUAAGUGCUGACUUUCUCCAGGAUGCCUUUCCGAGGGGAUUCCUAAGGCUCUGGCUUAGGGCUCUGAAUCAGGGGGACAGGGGAGUGAAUUAUUCACUCAGUGAACUCAGGCUCUUGGACUGUGCCUGGCCCUAUAGUGAAUUUCACAACCAGCAGAACAGGCCUUCCGGAAGCUAACGUUUUAAUUUGCAAGGACAGAAUUUACAUACCAAAAACAUUGCAAAGGUUUUGAAUGAUUGAAAGAAGUUCAAGUGUAGAGGCACUGGAGUGUGGUAUUGCUGGCGACAGGGACACAGGCCAGGUGCAGGGAACUGGUGCAGAGGAACCAGGGAAAAGAGUGAGUUCAGGAAGCAUGCAGGUCACAGAGGGCCACCAAGGCCAGGCAGAGGCAAGCUGUCGAACCCUGAGGAAGCCAUUACCGUCCCCUUGGUAGAAAGAGUCCUUUGAUAUGUUCAGGGGGAUUGGAAUGGGGACAGGAAGACCAAUUAAGGGACUCUUCUAGGUUAACAGUUGUGUCGGCUGAUGGCAGUGGGUGAAUUUUAUUUAGGAAAUGAUUUGGUCCUGGAUUGGUUGUGGUGGUUGCUGAGGUUUGAAUGUGUCCUCCCAAAAUUCAUAUAUUGGAAACUUAAACCCCAAAUUCAUGUGUUAAUGGUAAUUGGAGGUGAGGCCUUAGGGACUUAAUUAGGAUUACGUCGGGGGUAGAUCGUAGGGGGUGCCUCACGAUGUCAUUAAUGGCUUUUUGAGAGGAAGAGAGACUCCAUUCCCACACUUGCCUGCAGCGCCCUCCACGGAGUUGUGAUGCAGUGCGGGGCCCUUGCCAGCUGCUGCUCCAGGCUCUGGGACUUCCCAGCCUCCGGAACUAUGAUCCAAAUAAACUUCUAUUCUUUAUAAAUUUUCCAGUCUCAGGUAUUUUGUUACAGCAACAGAAAAUGGACUUAGAUAGUGGUGACAGGAAGAGAGGUGUCAAAGAUUCUCGCCGAUUUCAGGUUGCUUGGUGCUUGGUCCGUCAACUGGCCUAACAAUAGGUGUCAGAGUUUGAACCCAGGACUCGGGCUCCGGAUCUUUCCUGGAGUCCUGUGAGGUGAGCGGACUCUCCAGUCUCCUCCCUGCUCAGCCUCCAGGGACUGAGCUCUGAAGGACUGCAGGAAGGAUACAAGGACGUCUGCUGUGGACGGGCCUCCUUCCCCUCUGGGGACAGCGUACCUGGAAGCCAAACUAAAUG